rnacentral:rRNA from 1 species
AUUGAACGCUGGCGGCAGGCCUAACACAUGCAAGUCGAACGGUAGCACAGAGAGCUUGCUCUCGGGUGACGAGUGGCGGACGGGUGAGUAACGUCUGGGAAACUGCCCGAUGGAGGGGGAUAACUACUGGAAACGGUAGCUAAUACCGCAUAACGUCGCAAGACCAAAGUGGGGGACCUUCGGGCCUCACACCAUCGGAUGUGCCCAGAUGGGAUUAGCUAGUAGGUGGGGUAAUGGCUCACCUAGGCGACGAUCCCUAGCUGGUCUGAGAGGAUGACCAGCCACACUGGAACUGAGACACGGUCCAGACUCCUACGUGAGGCAGCAGUGGGGAAUAUUGCACAAUGGGCGCAAGCCUGAUGCAGCCAUGCCGCGUGUAUGAAGAAGGCCUUCGGGUUGUAAAGUACUUUCAGCGGGGAGGAAGGCGGUGAAGUUAACAGCUUCACCGAUUGACGUUACCCGCAGAAGAAGCACCGGCUAACUCCGUGCCAUCAGCCGCCGUAA